rnacentral:rRNA from 1 species
UACGGAGGGUGCAAACGUUGCUCGGAAUCAUUGGGCGUAAAGGCGCACGUAGGCGGCCCUGCUAAGUCGGGAUGUGAAAAUCCCUCGGCUUAACCGAGGAACUGCCCUCCAAACUGCGGUUGCUUGAGGCCGGGAGAGGUGAGUGGGAAUUCCCAAGUGUAGCGGUGAAAUGACGUAGAUAUUGGGAGGAACACCAGAAGCGAAGGCGGCGACCUGGAUAGACACUGACACUCAACUGCGAAAAGCGUGGGGAGCAAACAGG